rnacentral:tRNA from 1 species
GCUUCAGUGGCUCAAUGGCAGAGCAGGUGAUUUGUAAUCAUCAGAUUGCAGGUUCGACUCCUGUCUGAAGCUCCA